rnacentral:rRNA from 1 species
CAUGCAGGCGGUUACAUAAGUCAGGUGUGAAAUCCCCGCGCUUAACGUGGGCAUUGCAUUUGAAACUAUGUAGCUAGAGUUCUGUAGAGGGGGGUAGAAUUCCUAGUGUAGCGGUGAAAUGCGUAGAUAUUAGGAGGAACACCAGUGGCGAAGGCGGCUUGCUGGACGACAACUGACGCUGAGGCGCGAAAGCGUGGGGAGCAAACAGGAUUAGAUACCCUCGUA